GCUGGGCACAGUGGCACAGGCCUGUAAUCCCAGCACUUGGGAAGCUGAGGCAGGAGAAUAGUGAGUUCAAAGUCAGCCUCAACAAUUUAGCAAGGCUCUAAGCAACUUAGUGAGACCCUGCCUCUA
rnacentral:sRNA from 1 species